CCUACGGGGUGCAGCAGUGGGGAAUAUUGGACAAUGGGCGAAAGCCUGAUCCAGCCAUGCCGCGUGUGUGAGAAGGCCUUCGGGUUGUAAAGCACUUUCAGUGGGGAAGAAAGCCUUGGGGCUAAUACCCUCGAGGAAGGACAUCACCCACAGAAGAAGCACCGGCUAACUCCGUGCCAGCAGCCGCGGUAAUACGGAGGGUGCGAGCGUUAAUCGGAAUUACUGGGCGUAAAGCGCGCGUAGGCGGUCUGAUAAGCCGGUUGUGAAAGCCCCGGGCUCAACCUGGGAACGGCAUCCGGAACUGUCAGGCUAGAGUGCAGGAGAGGAAGGUAGAAUUCCCGGUGUAGCGGUGAAAUGCGUAGAGAUCGGGAGGAAUACCAGUGGCGAAGGCGGCCUUCUGGACUGACACUGACGCUGAAGUGCGAAAGCGUGGGUAGCAAACAGGAUUAGAUACCCGAGUAGUC
rnacentral:rRNA from 1 species